ensembl:lncRNA
AUGCCGCCACGGUUUAACCCGGACACACAGUACACACUGAAAAUAUACGCAAAUGAUACUAGACAAGUGCCUAAAAUACUCGUCAACAAAACCAAUUUACAGCCUGACUGCGGUCCAGAGGGCAUAUCAGGCAGAAAAAAAUAAUUCAGAUCACUUCAAGCGGUAAAUUAAUUCUACUUUACGAUUUCACAUAAUUGACCUUUUUAACCUUAAAUAUAAUCAAUGUUUUUAUCUAAAUCAUUUCAAAGAGUCAGUUUAUGAUUUUUUUUCCAGAUGUUUCGGAACGUGAUGUGACUCUGUUAAGAGUCCAGCGGAGCGAAAGCAUCAGUCUGAACUGCAGCAUGACCAACAGAUAUAAAAUCUCCUGAUUCUGGACAACUAACGAAGUCUGCAAAGACCAGCAGUCUGCUACACUGUAAAAAAUAAAAUCAAAAUCUGUAGUUUUUACCA